rnacentral:rRNA from 1 species
UACGGAGGGUGCAAACGUUGCUCGGAAUCAUUUGGGCGUAAAGCGCACGUAGGCGGUCCGUUAUGUCGGGUGUGAAAGCCCUCGGCUUAACCGAGGAAGUGCAUUCGAAACUGGCGGACUUGAGUACCGGAGAGGGUCGCGGAAUUCCCGGUGUAGAGGUGAAAUUCGUAGAUAUCGGGGAGGAACACCGGUGGCGAAGGCGGUUCUCUGGGCAUGAUCUGACGCUGAGGAGCGAAAGUGUGGG